AGGUACAAAUGGGAGAGUGCACCGCAACUGUCUGUGGGAGGCCCGCCUACACACCUGUGCUUGUUCCGGCAUGGUCUGGGGAUCCUGUGCCGUACAGGCUGGCUGCGUUUGGGAGUAUGGUCUCCGGGGUCUUCACCCGCACCACCGAGUGGGUGGAUAUAGAGGGGGAGCGCCGGUGUAUUCUUGAUGUGGGACGUGGGCAUGGUCGCCGCCCAGGAGCCAUCGACGGUGUCUGGAGGGAGAUAUAAUAGGAUGUGUAUGGACCGCGUUCUCAUCAGCCUCGUGCCCAGGUCCCGGAUAU
rnacentral:lncRNA from 1 species